rnacentral:rRNA from 1 species
GAUCUCAAAUCAGGUAGGAUUACCCGCUGAACUUAAGCAUAUCAAUAAGCGGAGGAAAAGAAACUAACAAGGAUUCCCCUAGUAGCGGCGAGCGAAGCGGGAAGAGCUCAAAUUUAUAAUCUGGCGCUUUCGGCGUCCGAGUUGUAAUCUCUAGAAGUGUUUUCCGCGUUGGACCGCACAUAAGUCUGUUGGAAUACAGCGGCACAGUGGUGAGACCCCCGUUCACGGUGCGGAUGCCCAAUGCUUUGUGAUACACUUUCGAAGAGUCGAGUUGUUUGGGAAUGCAGCUCAAAUUGGGUGGUAAAUUCCAUCUAAAGCUAAAUAUUGGCGAGAGACCGAUAGCGAACAAGUACCGUGAGGGAAAGAUGAAAAGCACUUUGGAAAGAGAGUUAACAGUACGUGAAAUUGUUGGAAGGGAAACGCUUGAAGUCAGACUUGCUAUUCGGGGCUUGCUCCGAGUUGCAGGCCAGCAUCAGUUUUUCGGGGCGGAAAAUCACGGAUUGAAGGUAGCAGUUUCGGCUGUGUUAUAGCUUUCCGUUGGAUACGUCCUGGGGGACUGAGGAACGCAGUGUGCUUUUAGCGAGGGCUUCGGCUCUUUCACACUUAGGAUGCUGGGGA